rnacentral:rRNA from 1 species
GGGCGUUAAGUUGCAGGGUAUAGACCCGAAACCCGGUGAUCUAGCCAUGGGCAGGUUGAAGGUUGGGUAACACUAACUGGAGGACCGAACCGACUAAUGUUGAAAAAUUAGCGGAUGACCUGUGGCUGGGGGUGAAAGGCCAAUCAAACCGGGAGAUAGCUGGUUCUCCCCGAAAGCUAUUUAGGUAGCGCCUCGUGAAUUCAUCUCCGGGGGUAGAGCACUGUUUCGGCUAGGGGGCCAUCCCGGCUUACCAACCCGAUGCAAACUGCGAAUACCGGAGAAUGUUAUCACGGGAGACACACGGCGGGUGCUAACGUCCGUCGUGAAGAGGGAAACAACCCAGACCGCCAGCUAAGGUCCCAAAGUCAUGGUUAAGUGGGAAACGAUGUGGGAAGGCCCAGACAGCCAGGAUGUUGGCUUAGAAGCAGCCAUCAUUUAAAGAAAGCGUAAUAGCUCACUGGUCGAGUCGGCCUGCGCGGAAGAUGUAACGGGGCUAAACCAUGCACCGAAGCUGCGGCAGCGACGCUGAUGCGUUGUUGGGUAGGGGAGCGUUCUGUAAGCCUGCGAAGGUGACCUGUGAGGGUUGCUGGAGGUAUCAGAAGUGCGAAUGCUGACAUAAGUAACGAU